UUUCUUGAUGGUAUCAUUUGCAGCACAGUUUUUUUAAAAUUUUAGCACAUUAAAAAAAAACCUGAUUUGCUGAGGUAUAAUUUUAAAUGCUUCGUUCAAUGAUUUUCUAGUAAAUUUACAGAGUUGCGCAUCACUGUAACCAUUGUCAUAAUCUAGAUUUCGAACAUUUCCAUCCCCUCCCCCCCCCCAAAAAAACCCCAAAAAAACCUCAUAUGGCCAUUUUUGGUCCACUCCUGUUACACUGUCAGCCCCAGCCAGCUCCUCUGGAUGUACCUGUUUGGGACAUGUCACGCAAAUGAAAUCAUACAAUAUGGACUCUUUCACUUUUGUCUUCUUUCACUUAGCAUAAUAUUUUUGAAGUUUAUCCAUGUUACGGCAUGUAUCAGUAGCUUGUUUCUUUUUAAUUGCUAACUACUCUUCUACUGUUUAUCCAUUCACUAGCUGAGUUAUUUCUCGUCUGUUGCUAUUGUGAAUAAUGCUGCUGUGAUUCAAUGUAAUUGUCUUAGUAGCUCGGGCUGCUGUAACAGAACACCAUAUUCCGGGCGGCUUAAACAAUAGUUAUUUCUCACAGUUCCGGAGGCUGAGAAGUUCAAGAUCAAGGUGCUCGUUGGUAGAUGGCUGCCUGUUCUCUCCCUCCUCAUGUGGCAGAGAGAGUGAUUUGGCCUCUCUCUUCUUAUGAAGACGCUAAUCCCAUCAUGGGGGUCCCACCCUCAUGACUUGAUCUAAUUACCUCCCAAAGGCACCACUUCCAAAUACCAUCACAUUUGGCAGGGCGGAGACCUACAACCUAUGGAUCUGGGGGGACACAAGCAUUCAGCCCAUAAUAGUAAUUAUUGAUACGAUUGGCUUUACAUCUACCAUUUCAAUAUUUGUUCUUGACCUAGCUCAUGUCUGUUUUGUUCCUCUGUUUCUCCUUUACUGACUUCUUUGGUGUUAAAUAGAUACUCUUCUAGCUUACCAUUUUAAUUUCUUUGUUGGUUUUUAAAUGGUGUUAUUUUCUUCUUGGUUGUUCUAGGGACAAUAUGCAGUCUUAUCGCAAGCAACUACCAAGUGUGUUAUGGGAGAGAAAAAGAAGAUACCAGUGGAUAAAGCUGUGCUACAUUUCGUUACUGAGGUAUGUCUAAAAGAUGGUCUGUCACAUAGGAAGCAAGACAAGUGGAGCCCGGAAAAAUUGCGAAAUCCCUUGGAAUAGAUAAUAAAAAAAUUUCAAAGUAA